AUACCCUAUUAUUUUAAGCUAUAUAUUGGUAGUAAUUAAUAAUUUAUGAAAUCAUAAGAUUUUGGCGGUAUUUUAAGCUUAUUAGAGGAAUUUGCUCUGUAAUGGAUACAACGCCUUAAUCUUACUUAAUUUGGUUUAAAAGUCAGUUUGUAUACCACUAUAUUUAAUUAUAUUGAAUAAUUAUAUUUAAGAUUUUUUUUUAUAAAAAAUAUAUUAAGUCAAGGUGCAAUUUAUAAUUAUGAAUGAAGUGAAUUACAUUAAUUUUAAUUUUACUUAAAUAUUGAAAAAAAAUUAUAGGAUUUAAUAGUAAAA
rnacentral:rRNA from 1 species